GUUUCAUGUGUUCAGUAACAGCUGAUAUUCAUGUUUUAUGUGUUCAGUAACAGCUGAUAUUCAUGUUUCAUGUGUUCAGUAACAGCUGAUAUUCAUGUUUCAUGUGUUCAGUGGAAGAUGCAAUUGCUGCAAUGGAAGAUUAUCAGAAGGAUCCCAAAGCUGAGAAGUUGCAGUCUCUAUUCUUUAGGUUUAAGUGGCUGUUACGCAGACUCUUCAGGACUUUCUUCGGUUGGCGUCGCCACCAUCACCACCAUCAUAGAUGGUAUUGAGGAUCCUCUCCAGUCUCCAUAUGAAAUGUAUCACGAUACAACUCACAAGUCUCCUGACAUCACCUCUCACCAACCUGAUGUAUCAACAACCUCUUAGACCCACAUCAUCACUAUAUCUACUGAUUAAUGCUGUGUUCCAAAUGACACCCUAUUCCCUUUAGAGCACUGCUGUUAAGAUGUUCUAAAGUAAAGUUAAAGACAGGGAAUAUGGUGACAUUUCAGACACACUUUGUCACCAUUUCUCUGUCUGUUUUGAUACUUUAGGAAUGAUUAGAGAUGAUUAACAUUGACUAUAUGAAGACAUGGUGGUAAUGUUGUAUGGCUGAUCUGUCAAACUGCAAUCAUUCAAUAAAUAUUUAUCAAGCAUCACACAUUAUCAGCUGUGCACGA
rnacentral:lncRNA from 1 species